ACUGCUCAGUAACACGUGGAUAACCUGCCCUUGGGUCCGGGAUAACCCCGGGAAACUGGGACUAAUACCGGAUAGGUCAGAGAUACUGGAAUGUUCUCUGGCCCAAAACUCCGGUGCCCAAGGAUGGGUCUGCGGCCUAUCAGGUAGUAGUGGGUGUAACGUACCUACUAGCCUACGACGGGUAAGGGUUGUGAGAGCAAGAUCCCUGAGAUGGAUUCUGAGACAUGAAUCCAGGCCCUACGGGGUGCAGCAGGCGCGAAACCUUUACACUGCGGGAAACCGCGAUAAGGGGACCCCGAGUGCCAGCACCUAGUGCUGGCUGUCCCGCUGUCUAAACAACAGUGGUUAGCAAGGGCCGGGCAAGACCGGUGCCAGCCGCCGCGGUAACACCGGCGGCCCGAGUGGUAGCCGCUAUUAUUGGGUUUAAAGGGUCCGUAGCCGGCUUAUUAAGUCUCUUGGGAAAUCUGGCGGCUUAAUCGUCAGGCGUCCAAGAGAUACUGGUAGGCUUGGGACCGGGAGAGGUGGGAGGUACUCCAGGGGUAGGGGUGAAAUCUUGUAAUCCUUGGGGGACCACCGAUGGCGAAGGCAUCCCACCAGAACGGGUCCGACGGUGAGGGACGAAAGCUGGGGGCACGAACCGGAUUAGAUACCCGGGUAGUCCCAGCUGUAAACGAUGCUCGCUAGGUGUCAGGUGCGGUGCGACCGCAUCUGGUGCCGCAGUGAAAACCUGAAGCGAGUCACCUGGGAAGUACGGUCGCAAGGCUGAAACUUAAAGGAAUUGGCGGGGGAGCAC
rnacentral:rRNA from 1 species